UUAAUAUACACAGAGUUUUCAUGUGCUCAAAGAAAAACCAGUCAAAAACAACUUUCACCUUAUCAGUUGGCUUGAUAAGGGGAAGUUUAACAGUAUGGUGAACCCGAACAAUAUUUUUACGAAAUAAUUUACAUUACUUUCUACAAAUUAUGGAUGUAAAAUAAGGAAUCAGUUGUGAAGUUCUCAGUGCUAACUCAAAUUACAAAUGCAAAGUGAAAUCUUGCUAUCGUUUUUAUUAUUAAGUUUUGCAAAUUGUAUAUCAAAAUAUCCUGUUUUAAUAAUUAUUUCUUUCGAUGGUUUUCGUUACGAUUUUGUUGGUAAAAAGACACCAAACAUACUUGCUCUAA